rnacentral:rRNA from 1 species
UACGGGGGGGGCAAGCGUUGUUCGGAAUUACUGGGCGUAAAGGGUUCGUAGGUGGCCAACUAAGUCAGACGUGAAAUCCCUCAGCUUAACUGGGGAACUGCGUCUGAGACUGGAUGGCUCGAGUGCAGGAGAGGAACGCGGAAUUCCAGGUGUAGCGGUGAAAUGCGUAGAUAUCUGGAGGAACACCGGUGGCGAAGGCGGCGUUCUGGACUGUUACUGACACUGAGGAACGAAAGCCAGGGGAGCAAACGGG